CACGGGGGGGAGCAAGCGUUUGUUCGGAAUCAUUGGGCGUAAAGGGCGUGUAGGCGGUCAAGUAAGUGGAAUGUGAAAGCCCCCCGGCUUACCCGGGGAUCUGCAUCCCAAACUGCUUGGCUUGAGUACGGGAGGGGGAUAGGGGGAAUUCCUGGUGUAGCGGUGAAAUGCGUAGAUAUCAGGAGGAACACCGGUGGCGAAGGCGCCUAUCUGGCCCGAUACUGACGCUGAGGCGCGAAAGCUAGGGGAGCAAACGGG
rnacentral:rRNA from 1 species